UACGUAGGGAGCUAGCGUUGUCCGGAAUCAUUGGGCGUAAAGCGCGCGUAGGCGGCUCGGUAAGUCCGCUGUGAAAGUCAAAGGCUCAACCUUUGAAUGUCAGCGGAUACUGCCGGGCUAGAGUCCGGAAGAGGCGAGUGGAACUCCUGGUGUAGCGGUGGAAUGCGCAGAUAUCAGGAAGAACACCAACGGCGAAGGCAGCUCGCUGGGACGGAACUGACGCUAAGGCGCGAAAGCGUGGGGAGCGAACAGG
rnacentral:rRNA from 1 species